rnacentral:rRNA from 1 species
AGUGGCGCACGGGUGAGUAACACGUGAAUUAUCUACCUCCGAGUGGGGAAUAACUGAGAGAAAUCUUAGCUAAUACCGCAUAACACUUACGAGUCAAAGCAGCAAUGCGCUUGGAGAGGAGUUCGCGGCCGAUUAGUUAGUUGGCGGGGUAAUGGCCCACCAAGACGAUGAUCGGUAUCCGGCCUGAGAGGGCGCACGGACACACUGGAACUGAAACACGGUCCAGACUCCUACGGGAGGCAGCAGUGGGGAAUUUUGCGCAAUGGGGGAAACCCUGACGCAGCAACGCCGCGUGGAGGAUGAAAUCCCUUGGGAUGUAAACUCCUUUCGAUAGGGAAGAUAAUGACGGUACCUAUAGAAGAAGCCCCGGCUAACUUCGUGCCAGCAGCCGCGGUAAUACGAGGGGGGCAAGCGUAUUCGGAAUUAUUGGGCGUAAAGGGCGCGUAGGCGGUUUGACAAGUCUGAUGUGAAAUCUCUGGGCUCAACCCAGAGUCUGCAUUAGA